GACGUAGGUGGCGAACGUUAUCCGGAAUUAUUGGGCGUAAAGGGUGCGUAGACGGCAUGAUAAGUUAUUGGCGGGAAAUCGAGGCUCAACCUCGUGGAAACUGAUAAUACUGUUUUGCUUGAGUACAGGAGAGGUUAGCGGAACUCCAUGUGGAGCGGUAAAAUGUGUAGAUAUAUGGAAGAACAUCAAUAACGGCGAAGGCAGUUAACUAUUCUGUUACUGACGUUGAGGCACGAAAGCGUGGGGAGCAAAACGG
rnacentral:rRNA from 1 species